UUACAUACCUGGUCGAACUCAGUGGGUGAUCAAUUAAGGCCCCUGGGUAGUAGGAACUGUGUCCCAAUUGUGCACUCGAUGAAAAUCAGACGUUGGGCGAACCUACUUUGCUUUUUCCCAAGUGGACUAGCAUUCGACUCAAUUUGUGUUCAAUGGUGGUUGCGUUAAUCGCGCCACCUC
rnacentral:snRNA from 15 species